rnacentral:rRNA from 1 species
UACAGGGGGUGCAAACGUUGCUCGGAAUUAUUGGGCGUAAAGCGCGCGUAGGCGGCCGCUUAGGUCGGAUGUGAAAGCCCCCGGCUCAACCGGGGAGAGUGGCUGGAAACUGCGUUUCUUGAGGGCGAGAGAGGAGGGUGGAAUUCCUGGUGUAGCGGUGAAAUGCGCAGAUAUCAGGAGGAACACCGGGUGGCGAAGGCGGUUCACUGGUCCGGUACUGACGCGUGAGGUGACGAAAGCGUGGGGAGCAAACAGG